GUGGGACUGCGCUCGCGCGGCUUCCUAGAGGAGGAGCCAUGGCCCCGCCCCGGGCCCGAGAGAAAAAGUGCACUGCACUUUCGUUUUUUAGCAGCAAAGUUUGUUGAUGUACUUUACCACUUAUCUUUUCUGUUUCUACUCAGGACAGUCAAGACAGUGCUCAGCUAGAUGUUCACAUAACUGUAGACAUAAAUGUGAAUCUAUUUAACGCAGUAAUUAAUUCAAAAAGUGUUUUUAGCAUCCUAGCAUGCAUCAGUGGAUAUGAAAGUAGUAAAUGUUAAUUGAGUGGUCAUGUGCAUCCUGGACUUCUCAUCUGUGCACAUUCUCAUUCUUUGCCUGCAAAGGGCCAGUAAAAGCACAGUGAUGGUUGAACGAAUGUGACAGCCUCCUUUGCUGAUGCCUUACUCCAAGAAAUUAAAUCACCUAACUGAUAUCUUAUGGUCUGAUUGGAACAGGAUUUCAAUAGCAGCCCUGGGAAACUGAUGCCUGGGGGAGCAGAAUGAAGAGAGGAACUAACCUUGCCUGGGAAAGAGGAGGAAAAUGUCACAGGUACCACGAAAGCAGUCUGGAAGAUAGACUGGAGGGAGACAGAACGGAAGAAAAGAUACCAGUUGGCUCAGAAGAUAGAUUCUGGUUGCCUGGACUGGAGCAGAAGCAG